CUUCAAUAAACUACAAAAUUUAUUAAACGAAAUCUGGAACAAGGGAAAGUUUAUACAGCUCAUUUACUGACCUGGGCUAUGUAGUAUUAAAUGACCGUCCUUAAUCUUUGGUUCGCUUCUUUAAAGUAAUUCGAUUGUUCUUUUGGGUAAUGGACCCAGUUCUGAGAAAAUACCUUAUUAACAAUAAUUCUAAAGUAUAUUGCGCUCUACUCCUCGAUGAAAAAAGCUAGUUUUUUGAGGUAAAAUACAUACGUGCUGCAGCCAAAUGCUCCAACGCUACCACCUACAUAAACUUAAGUCACGAACACGCCUAGCACAAUAAGAUCUUAGGCAGCCCCUUCACAACAGUUUGCCGGUUAUCAAGUUUUGGAGACAGCAAAGAUGACUUAUUGCAACCAAUAGUAAUUGCUUAAGCAGCCUUUGUAGCUGAAGGGAAGCAGUUUAUUACGAAUGGGGGGCAAGUGGUACGCUCUGAGCAGCAAGAAAUUCGGUAAAAGUUUCUCUUUGUUUACGUGGUCUUCGGCCAUAAGAUCAUCGUGAGUCAGAAGGGUAGUAGCUCUUAACAGAGGACCAAAAGAGUCGCGGCAGUCGUCUCCCACAGCUUUCCUACUGCGACGGGUAGUGGAUCAUAUGCCGUAGAUGCUUGCUGAUAAGCAUCUUCAGUUCGCGAGAUUUAACGUCAAGUGUGGUCACGGCGGCGUGAGCGGGUGUUGUACCGAACUUGGUAAAGAAAUCGAGUCAUUUUAAAAACAGGACGAAUUUGACCUUGGUCGAAAAGGCAUUCCCAUGUGUUUUAAAUACAGUAAAGGGCGCGUUAUCCCCAUGCAUCCUGAAUAUCUGGCCGUUUAAUCUAAAACUUGAGGAAAGGCACCUAUAAAAGAUUGAAGGGUUUUAUGCAAGCCAGAGUAACUACUGCGUCGCUUUUGCAAAGAUAUAAACUGGAACAAGUAAAAACGGCGAGCUUUGAAGACCGCUCUACAAUGGAGUAUCUAGUAUUUUAUUGGGAGAGAAGUUGGUCGCAGAGUCACGCCGUUCUUCAUAACAAAAAAAGGUGCUGAAGGCUAUCGUGAAGCACAGCAGCUGAUAAUCCUUGCUUCCAACUAUAUGCUCUUUAUUAUACGAUAACUGAUGCCGUUUAAUACCUAAUGUUUGCUUUUCUUAACAUAAUUGAUGCUAACAUGACCCAGCGGCUCGCCGGCAUUAGUCGAGAAGAAGCACAGCUUGCGUAGCGCUUCAUUAAUAUUCAUAAAGCAGGCGAUACCAACCAGACAGAAAGAGGUUUUGCUUUGCCCUCAUUGCUCCCUUCGUCGAGCAAAAAUUAAAGUUUGCAGUGGAACAAUAUACAAUUAAAAGUACUAGUGAAGCUUCAUAAAUUAACGCUUAUUUGCCCCUCUCAUUUUCCCCCUCAUGGAGAAGACGAAACGCUUGUCUCAUUUGAGAUCUCUAUAGUUACUUACCACUUCACGCUUACAUUUUAGCACUCUUCUCCCAGUCUAUCUUGCAUUGUCAAUAUGUUUGUAUUCGGCACUUCGAUUUAUUAAAAUUAAUUAGUUGAAUCUUGCUACGCGACACUAAUCCUCAAAAGAAAAGAACAGAGUUUUUCGGUUCUAUCACUACACCGACUUCUGUUACCAGAAGCCCCUUUUCUGCAUUGACUUGGGAAAGAAAUUUAUAUGAAUUA